rnacentral:rRNA from 1 species
UACAGAGGGGGCAAGCGUUGUUCGGAAUUACUGGGCGUAAAGGGCGCGUAGGCGGCCUGCUAAGUCGAACGUGAAAUCCCUGGGCUCAACCCAGGAACUGCGUCCGAUACUGGUUGGCUUGAAUCCGGGAGAGGGACGUGGAAUUCCAGGUGUAGCGGUGAAAUGCGUAGAUAUCUGGAGGAACACCGGUGGCGAAGGCGACGUCCUGGACCGGUAUUGACGCUGAGGCGCGAAAGCGUGGGGAGCAAACGGG